GUGGCUGAAUCACAUGGCAAUGACUGGAUCAGGAGUAAUGAGAGGCCAUGAGCUCAAAGAUCUGCUGUUUACAUCGCACAGCUUCAGAAUACAGCCGAACAUGAGAUCAAAUUGUGGAUAUAUAUAUUUUUUUUCACACUGAUCAUCUUGGAUUUAUCGAUCCUUGUCUCUCAUAUACGCUUUGCUUGUCUGGUAAACGCGAGAAAAUUCCUUUGCUGCAACACAGCUGUAACCUUCAAGUAUCUGGAGCAAGAGAUCAGUCGUUCUCUCUGUCCUCCUCUGAAAGGGCCUUUACCUUCAGCUACACCAAUCCCACCAGCCCCACAGCCUAGAGAGCUGCUCUCCAUUGAGG
rnacentral:lncRNA from 1 species